rnacentral:sRNA from 1 species
AGAUGUGAGGUGAUUUGGCUACAACACUAACCCCUCAUUCAUUUCCAGGGUAUAUUCAACUGGUCUGGCUGGUGAGGUAGGUGUUACCAUCCGCCUCAUUUCUUUUUGCUUCAACUUAAAUUUGACAUUCAGGAUAAAACAUCUAGUAUGCCUCUUCCGGAACUGAUGAAUACUCAAACAAAUAAUCUGGGGGAAAGAGUCUGAAUCUAGACCCUAAAGCAGGAGCCUGUCUGUCAUGUAGG